rnacentral:lncRNA from 1 species
AGCUGGUUGGAGCUGCUGCCAUUUGGAGUACACAGGAAUUGUAGCCUAGAGAGAAGGGGCCUGGCUUAGGGAGCAGCAGGCCUGUCUUUUAGUUUGGUGGUCCUCAAAGUGUGGUCCAUGAAGCAGUAGUAGCAUCAGCAUCACCUGGGAACUUGUGAGAAAUGCAAGUUUUUGGGCCCCACCUAGACCCACAGUCUCUGGAGCUGGAGCCCAGCAAACCAGCGCUCCACGUAACUGAUGCCCACUCCAGUGUGAGAGCCACAGAUCUAAGCCCUUUCACGUUCUACUUACAUCACUUGGGAAGUCAGUUACCUUCUCUGGCCCUCAAUUCCUUUGUGUAUUUGCCCUUCUGGAUGAAAACAAAAGGAGACUUAGAUAUAAAGGCGCUUUAUAAACUGCAAAACAUAAUACUAAUACUGUUGAUCUGUGAUAAAUUAGAGUCAGAAUCCAUGCGGUUGAGGACAGAAGGCCUGGACCUCACUUACAAAUGUACUCUUGACUUUUUCUGUCACUUCUCCCCAAAGCAGAGAUGUGCAACCCCAGGACAAGUGGCUCAGACCAUUUAUCUAUCAGAGGAUUCAUGGAAAGGACUCAGUGUUUACCAGGAUACUUCCAAGGUGCCCUAUCCGUAUAGAGUGGAACUUUAAAACCGGAGAAAAAGUCCAACGAAAUAAGUCAAGUGGAAUAUGUUGUCUUCUACCAUAUUUAGGCAGAGAUCUUGACUAAUUAAUCUUCAAAGAAGUGAAAAUAAUCUACUCUUGAACUUAAUUAUGCAAAUAAAACAAUUCUAAUUUCGGAAAUGGCUAGAGAU